AGUUGAGAAUAGAUAGUAUUGGUGAUGAGGCUUACAAAGAGAACUUUGAUUUAUUAAGUGUUGGUGCCUAAUAAGAAAUGCUGCCUUGCGAGAGGUUAAACAAUUUUUGAGGUCUUAAAGCUAAUUUGUGCGGAUAAAUUGUUAGUACAGGUGGAAGAACUUUUCUGCUGAUAAUCGGAGAAGAGUGGAAGAACUUUUCUGCUGAACAAAAGAAAAGGUCUUGUCCCAUAUCAACUGUGUGAAUCAAUGAAACAUUUAAAAAAAUUGUAACCUAUUUGCAUAUUAUUGAACAAGGAGAUAUAUAUGGAAAGCAAUGAAAGGCUGAAGGUAAAAGAAAAGCUUGCUCAACUGAAAGAAUCACUCAAGAUCAUGUGAGCAGUGGUAGAAGUUUAUGGAAGAACUUAAUCUUGGAGUAAAAUAAGACGAUCAACCAGCCACGCACGAAAUCCACUUGUAAGUUGUCUUUAGUUUUUAAAUGUAACUAUCCUCCCAUUCCCAGGUAUGUUUCAUCUUUCUCUUCAGUUUAGAAUUUCAAAUUUUUUUCUCUUAUAACUCGAAAUUACCAUCUCUUUUGUUUUUAUGUAGUAACAUAUUUUAUAGCUAAUAUACUUUCAGAAUUCUAUAGAGAUUGAACAGGUGAUAGACGGAAACACGGAGAAUAAUAAUGUUAUGGUCCUUGGUUCCUAUAAUAACAUGAUCUAGGUCGAUCUCUUAUAUCUCUUAGCACAUAGCAUACAUUUAUGUUUAGUUUCUUGCAUUCAUGCAUUUUUGCUUCCUUGAUUUACAGCUUGAUUCUUUACUUGCAUCACUAACCGUGACUUCCUUGCUUAACUUGUGUUUGAUUGUUUCUUUCACUAGUUGCAUUUAUGCAUGGGUUGCUUCCUUUGAUUCAUUGCUUGGUUAUUUACUUGCAUCAUUAAUCGUCACUUCCUUGCUUAACUUGCGUUUGCUUGUUUCUUUCACUAGCUGCAUUCAUACAUGGUUGCUUCCUUGAUUCUUUACUUGCAUGAUUAACUGUCACUUCCUUGCUUAACUUGCGUUUGCUUGUUUCUUUCACUAGCUGCAUUCAUACAUGGUUGCUUCCUUGAUUCUUUACUUGCAUGAUUAACUGUCACUUCCUUGCUUAACUUGCGUUUGCUUGUUUCUUUCACUAGCUGCAUUCAUACAUGGUUGCUUCCUUGAUUCUUUACUUGCAUGAUUAACUGUCACUUCCUUGCUUAACUUGCGUUUGCUUGUUUCUUUCACUAGCUGCAUUCAUACAUGGUUGCUUCCUUGAUUCUUUACUUGCAUGAUUAACUGUCACUUCCUUGCUUAACUUGCGUUUGCUUGUUUCUUUCACUAGUUGCAUUCAUACAUGGUUGCUUCCUUGAUUCUUUACUUGCAUGAUUAACAGUCACUUCCUUGCUUAACUUGUGUUUGCUUGUUUCUUUCACUAGUUGCUUUCAUGCUAGUUUAACUCAUUUACUUAAUGCUUUCUUUGUUUCUUGCUUUCUCAUUUUCUCUGUUCAUUUAUUAACUUGUUUGCGUGCUUGCCUUUUGAUUCUUUGUUUCCUUACUUCUUCCUUUCGUUAUUUGGCUACAUGAUUAUCUUGCUUCCAUCUCUGUUUCUUUGAUCUUUGUUUACUAUAUAUAUCAUUCGUUGCUUAACUUGUUUGGAUGUUUCCUUACUUAAUUCUUUCAUAUUUUGCUUGCAUGCUUGACUUAUUUUCCCACUUUCCUCUUUGCUUGCUUCCACAUGAGCUAUUUUGCUCUUUUCAUUGCGUGCUUCAUUCCUUAUUUCCCUUGUGCGUGCUUUCUUGUUUCCUUCUUACUCGCAUACAUACAUUCAUGGAUAUAUGCAUACAUUCAUAGACGAAAAUAUGUAUGUAUACUUGCAUACUUCCUUGUUUACGUACAUAAUUGAUUCGCUGUUUUUUUUUCUUAUUUGAUUCCUUGAUUUCUUAAUGUAUGCUGCAUCUCUCCGAUGUAAAUUGGUACCAUAGGAAAUCAAUGUUAUAAAAUUUGAUUAUAUAUAAGUUAGAUCUUUAGUCUUUUGUUAUCUCUGUCUAUUUCUAUCAUUAAGUUCUUGUAUCGACUAGUAUGAUUUUGGCUAUUAUUGUUCUUGAGAGAGAAAAUUAUUUAAACUGAAAGAUGGAAACGAACUGCAGGGUUCUCAUGCUCCCUGAUUCUUUGUUUAGCUUUUUGGGAGUCUAUUCACUGAGGUAAACUCAAAGAUCCAUGAGUUGAAGUUAAAACUUGAGAAAGAAAAGUUGGCUAUGUUGCUUGAAUGGAUUUCUGAUCUCCCAUGCUUAGUAGUCAGUAAAUGGUUUUCUUACAAGAUAAGAUAUAGAUGGAAGCAUGCCAAUUAAUUCUGCCCUUGACUUACAAACUGCAAACAAAACUUUGGAGUGUGAGAAUAUCUUGAAGCUUCCAAGUUUGACGAGCUUCAUCACAAUCCAUGAAAGAUAAAGUUUAGAAGGAGAAAACAAUGAUAUCAGGAGAGGUUCUACACAGAAGAGCUUGCUCAAUUAGAAGAAUCACUGGAAAAAAAGAAGGCAGCUUAAAGCACUGCAAUCCGUAGCUAAGAAAUAUGAAGUUUUGGAUAAAAGCUAAAAACUGGAGCAAUAAACAAAUUUGUUGAACAUCAUAGCUUUUUCAUGGUCACAUGUUCCUGUCUUGGUUUUAAUGGUUUAUGGAUGUAUGUCAUCUUCUUGGUUUUUAUGGUUUAUUUUCAGGGAUUGAGACUUUGUCGUUUACUUGCAACCAGAUUCGGGAUUACCUCAUAGCACAAGGUUUGAGUACCAGGUUCCUAACUAGGCUUAGAAGCAAAUAUAAAGCCAGACCAAUUGACAUAAGCUAGACAAACGUAAUCUAGAAAUGAAGCUUUUUAAGUUUAGUUAUUCUAUUUUUUGUUCCUCAACUCUGAAGCACUCAUGGAUUUUCAUAAUUUAGCUUUGGCAUGUAGUAGUAUGAAUUUACUAAUUGUUCAAGGAAGUCAUCUAAGGAUUGUGACCAUAUUCCUGCUUUUGAUCUGCAGAUUCAGUUUUAUGCCUAAGAAGAUGAAAUAAACUCCAUGGUUCUAAUGCUCUGUAAGUGUAGUUAGUUUGGCAGCUGAAUCUUACCUCAAUCCUUGUAUAUCUUUCUGGCAGUGUGUCCACUGAGGUAAAGGCAAAGAUCUAUGAGUUGAAAUCAACACUUGAGAAAGAUCUAUGUUACUGCCUUGCUGGGAUUGUUAUUGUUGAAAGUCGAAGAGUUCAAAGGAGGUAUGAAGUUGCCAAGUUUGAGGAGCUUCAUCACAAAUUUAUGAAAGACAAACCAGAUCAUCUAGAGGGUCUAAAAGAAACUAUUUCGAAAGUUACGUUUGAGGUGGACGAGGAGAAGCUCUAUAUGAGAACCUAAGUAAGCCAACAAAAUCCUUAUGAGACCACUGUUAGUAAGAUGGCAACAGUUACUCACUUCCCCCUGUACAAUCACAUGUCUGGCAAAGAAAGGAGACCAUGAUAUAUGAAUAGGAGAAGUUCUACAAAGUUGCUCAGUUGGAAGAAUCACUAAAAGUCAGUAAUAGCUUGAGUGGUAGAUUAAUUUUUAUUCAUUUGAAGCUAAAAGGUAAAAAAGGUCUCUACUGUUAAAGGGAAACUUGUAAUUAUUGAGUGUUGGUGUCAAUGUCGUUUAUGUUGUUCAGCUAUCAUAUAACUCUGUUCCUUUUUUUUCUCUAUUCCUUAAUUUACUCUCUGAAUUUGGCUCAUCCUUGUUUUUUUGCAGCAAAGUUGAGAUGCGUUAAUGGGAGAUGCAGACUGCAAAUGAUCUGUUGCAGAGAUGAACGAAGAAAAAUGGAAGAACUUGUCUGCGGAAUAAAAGGAUCCCUAAGAAAAGGUUACGUACAUACAUAUUUUCUCUUUUCUUUGUAUGCAAAUUCUUGGGGCGUAAGAUGGCAAAAAUUCAUUAUGGAAACUUUGGCUGAGUGAUAGAUUUAUAUUUCUUCAUUCUAAGCUAAAAGAUUCAGUUUUCUGCCCAAGAAGAUGAAACACAGUCCAUUGUUCCUAAUGCUCUGUAAGUUACAGCUGAAUCUUACUUCAAUUCUUGUAUAUCUUUCUGUUCUGGCAAUGUGUCCACUGAGGUGAAGUCAACACUUGAGAAAGACGGAGGAGGAACUCGGAAAGCUUAAGGUGGAGCUAUAAAAAAACUUCAAAUUGUGAAGGUAUUUCAAAUCGUUUCUCACGGGUCAAAAUUUAAGAAUAGCAGAUGCUAUUUGGGGGAUUUGAAAGAUUCCAUUAGAUAAAUGAUAGCUGUUGUCUGUGGAUUCCACCAAGAGGUUUCACCGCAAUAGCUAUCAGGUCUGUUCUGUAGUGAAGGUCAGGUGGUAUUACUUUUUAUGGACUACAAUGAGCCUUCUGUGUUCCAUUUUGAGAGAGAUUAUUUUGUUGGUCGUGGAUUGUAAGAACAAUCAUGCAAAACAGCCAAGACUCCAUCUCUUUAUAGAGGUCUAAAGUGAGGAUUACUCAUUUAAACAAAAGCGAAAAAACCAGAAUGAAGAAAGCUUGUUUCAUGUUAGGAAGAUAAGUAAUACAUAUAUAUUAUAUUAGACUCAUGCAUUUCGAUUAGGAGUCUUUUGUUAACAAUGUUAUGAUUUUAUUUGGAUUGAGAAGUUUGUCAGUUUCUGGUCUCCUCUUGCAGGAAGCUUUUGCAAGUUUAAACACCCGCUCUUCUGUUUAAUCUUGAACAAGGAGAUAUAUGGGAGAAUAUAAAAGGCUGAAGGUAGACGAAGAUAACAAAGAAGCUCUCUAAAUUCUCAAUAAAGAGAAAACCGAAAUUGUCACUAAGACACUAUUUCAAAGUUUGAGGUGGACAAGGAGAAGCUCUAUAUAUGAUAUGAGCAACUAACCUACACCACUGCAAUCCGUAGCUAAGAAAAGACAAAAACUGGAGCAAGAAACAGAUUUAUGGAAAAGCAUCAAAGUCAAUAAAAAAAAAUGUGUAUUGCAGCGGAGCUCUCCAAGUGAAAAUGGCGAUGGGUCAAUUUAUGAAAACUGAUCAAACACCAUUUGGCUUGUUUCACUUUCACUGGUUCUAACUAAAGAUUUUUUCUCUUUUUGGUUGCAGGCACUCGAGUGUUCGACGUUGAAAGCUAGUUGCAGCUCUAAAGAAAAUGCCGUUCUAAAUACAAACUUUUCACAAAAUAGUUUUUUUUUUUCUUGCUUUCUUUGACAGUGAAUUUUUUAUAUUUUGAAGGUCUAGUCAUUGCCAAUCUCUUUCACCCUCUCACAUUCCAAGAGAAGAAUAUCUAUGGUUCCUGCUUUUGGAAAAAAUUUCACCGUCCAGGUUUCCACUUUCAACUUUAUCAUUCUUAGAAAUCUUUGUGCUACUAUAAGAUGAUGAAUUUAUGCUGUUUCCGUUAAAUUUUGUUAGCAAGUCUACAUGGUUUGGCAACCCAUACAUGAUUUGGUAAGAGAAUUGUGAGUGAAUCAAGGUAUUGUUUGAUAAAUGUGCAUAUGCAGAGUUUUCAUCAAGUUCAUGACCAUUGAUCAUAACAUAUGCAGUUUCAGGUAUUUUUUCCAUUGCAGUUGUAGAAUUGAUGGUCACGACAUGAACAUAUUAAUGUCAUUUUGGUUUUCAGGUAAAUUUAAUGCUCUAGUCUGAUCAUCCAUAUUAAGUGCAGGACAAGAAGUGGAGCAUAGUGUCGGUGAUGAGACUAUAAAGGUGGAUACUUGUAAUUAUUAAGUGUUGGUGUCUAUGCUGUUGUUUUUUGUGGACUUGCAGGGUUCAAUUAAGGAACUACAAAAGUCUGAUGCGUUCCUUGUUGAGAGAGAUUAUCAGUUUCGAGAAGUCAUGGUGUUUUCUCCUCUGUAGUAUCUCAUUCAGAUUUCAAGGUAAGAGAGAAAACGUGAACUGGAUAUGAGUCAAAAGAAAGGAUAGGGCCUUCGUUUUGAUCUCCGGAGUUAUCUUUUAGUUUUUAAAGUUUUAUUAACUUGUUUGUGUGCUUGCCUUUUGAUUCUUUGUUUCCUUACUUCUUCCUUUCGUUAUUUGGCUACAUGCUUAUCUUGUUUCCUUCUCUGUUUCUUUGAUUUUUGUUUACUAUAUCAUUUGUUGCUUAACUUGUUUGUAUGUUUCCUUACUUCUUUCAUUUUUUGCUUGCAUGCUUGACUUAUUUUCCCA